AAGUCGUAACAAGGUUUCCGUAGGUGAACCUGCGGAAGGAUCAUUAUCAAAACAGCGGGCUUCGGCCCUAGCUGCACCCUUGUCUUUUGCGCACCGUAUUGUUUCCUCGGCGGGCUUGCCUGCCGGUUGGACAUAUCAAACCUUUUUGUAGUUGCAAUCAGCGUCAGAAAAACAAAUAAUUAUUACAACUUUCAACAACGGAUCUCUUGGUUCUG
rnacentral:misc_RNA from 1 species